UAGUACUUUGGAAUAAGUAGACAUUAAAAUAGUGACAACAUUAUUUUCUGGGCGCCCAUAGAAGGUGAAAGUCCUGUAUGUGAUGAAAGUAAAGAUGUUAUUAAGUAAUAUGAGGACGUCAGCCUUGUAUGAAUAAGGGGGUACCAUCCUCCAAGGCUAAGUAUAACAUAUCUAGCGAUAGUGAAGAGUAACGUGAGUGAAAGGUGAAAAGUAAGUAGAUGACUAGUGAAAUAGAACCUGAACUAGUAAUCCUAUAAGCAGUUGGAGUUUUAGUAAGAAAUGACAACGUACCUUUUGCAUAAUGGGUCAGCGAGUUAGUUUAUAGAGCAAGAUGAAUAAUCUAAGCGAAAGCGACUAUAAUAAGUGGAUCAAGAAUAGAGCAAGAUGAAUAAUCAAGCGACUAUAAUAAGUGGAUCAAGAAUAGUUUUAUGAACUAGACCCGAAGCCAAAUGAUCUUACCAUGGCCAGGCUAAAAAAGGGCCGAACAGGUGAAUGUUGCAAAAUUCUCUGAUGAGCUGUGGUAAGGGGUGAAAGGCCAAUCUAAUUUGGAUGAUAGCUGGUAUUCUGCGAAACCUAUUUAGGUAGGGCCUCUAUUUACAUUUUUAUAUGUACAGCACUGAUCAUCAUACAUUAGCCAGAUAUUUAAUAUCACUAUGUUAAAUUGGGGGGUUUCACAACUCUACCAUUGAUGGUUAACCUCGGAAGGAUAAUAAUGAAUGAUAGGGGCACAGUCUAUUCAUGAUAAGGUGGAUAGACAAAAGGGAAACAGCCCAGAGCACGUGUUAAGGUCCCAAAAUAUUGUUAAGUGAAUAUAAGAAAGUUUAACUCCUAAUACAACCAUGAAGUAGGCUUGGAGGUAGCCAUCUUUUAAUGAUAGUGUAACAACUCAGUGGUCUAACUUGAGGAGAGAAGCGUCGAAAAUUAACGGGUCUUAGACAAUAUACCUACACCGUGACUAUUUAUAAUAUUUAUUACUUUUUAUUAUAAGUAAGGGUAGCAGAACACUCAGUAUCUGAUUGAAGGAAAAUGUUUCAUUUUCUGGACAGUACUGAAGAGAAAAUGCUGACAUGAGUAACGUAGAAAGGAGUUAAAACACUCCUCGCCGAAUACGAGAGGGUUUCAUGGAGAAGUUAAUCUGCCAUGAGUUAUACGGACUCUAAGGAUUAUAGGCGAACGUCUAUAUCUGAUGAGAAUUACUACCAAUAUACACUGAAUUGUCUAUAUAUAAUAACCAUUUCUCUGUACGAAAAUUUACAGAGUGCAUAUAAAUGGCUAGAUCGAGAAAAAUAAGUGUCACUAGAUUUAUAGUGAAUCCGUACCCUAAACCGACACAGGUUCGUAGGUAGAGAAUACUAAGGCGUAGAGAUAAUGCUUGUGAAGGAACUCGGCAAAUUGUGCCCGUAAGUUAGACGAUAAGGGUAACCAGAAUAAAUAAUUAUAUUCUAAUUCUGAGUGUCACAAAAUCGAGGGCUGCGACUGUUUACCAAAAACACAGCAACUUGCUAAGACGAAUAGUACUUGUAUAAGUUGUGAACUCUGCCCAAUGCCAUGUCGUGUAAAGAAGGUGAUCUAUUUCUAGUGAAACAAAAUUUUACUAAAUAGUGUCACUAACUGAUGCCAUGGUGAAUGGCGGUCUUAACUAUAAGGAUCUGAAAGUAGCGAAAUUCCUUGGCCAUUAAAUGUGGUCCUGCAUGAAUGAGGUAACGUGGCCCUGCUGUCUCCACAAGCAUCUCAGUGAAAUUGAAUUAGCGAAAUUGAAUUAGCCGUGCAGAAGGUAACGUGGCCCUGCUGUCUCCACAAGCAUCUCAGUGAAAUUGAAUUAGCCGUGCAGAUGCGGUUUACCUUCAGUUAGACGGGAAGACCCUAUGCAGCUUUACUGUAGCUUGAUAUUGUUUCUUCUAUAGCUAGGUGUAGUAUACAAGGGAGUAGAUCUUUUUCUACGUCAGUGAAAUACCUUGACUAGUCUAAAGAAAAGACUUACCUAAUGCUAGUUAUAAACUAGUUCCUUAUGAAAAAUUGCUAUAAUUUUCUAGUUAAUUCUCUCUAAAUUCUAUAGAUGUAGAAGAGUUUUCUCUUUUUUCUAUAAAGAUUUUCCUCUAUUAAUUCUAUAGAUGUAGAAGA
rnacentral:rRNA from 1 species